GAUGAACGCUGGCGGCGUGCCUAACACAUGCAAGUCGAACGGACAUCUUUUGGAAGUUCUUCGGAACUGGAAUCUAAAUGUUAGUGGCGGACGGUGAGUAACGCGUGAGCAAGUCUGCCUUUCAGAGGGGGAUAACAGCCGGAAACGGCUGCUAAUACCGCAUAAUGCAUCGAAUUCGCAUGUUUUUGAUGCCAAAGAUUUUAUCGCUGAAAGAUGAGCUCGCGUCUGAUUAGCUAGUUGGCGGGGUAACGGCCCACCAAGGCAACGAUCAGUAGCCGGACUGAGAGGUUGAACGGCCACAUUGGAACUGAGAAACGGUCCAG
rnacentral:rRNA from 1 species